GGGUUGUGAGGUUAAGCGACUAAGCGUACACGGUGGAUGCCCUGGCAGUCAGAGGCGAUGAAGGACGUGCUAAUCUGCGAAAAGCGUCGGUAAGGUGAUAUGAACCGUUACAGCCGGCGAUGUCCGAAUGGGGAAACCCAGUGCAAUUCGUUGCACUAUCGUUAACUGAAUACAUAGGUUAACGAGGCGAACCGGGGGAACUGAAACAUCUAAGUACCCCGAGGAAAAGAAAUCAACCGAGAUUCCCCCAGUAGCGGCGAGCGAACGGGGAGCAGCCCAGAGUCUGAAUCAGCUUGUGUGUUAGUGGAACGGUCUGGAAAGUCCGACGGUACAGGGUGAUAGUCCCGUACACCAAAAUGCACAGGCUGUGAACUCGAAGAGUAGGGCGGGACACGUGGUAUCCUGUCUGAAUAUGGGGGGACCAUCCUCCAAGGCUAAAUACUCCUGACUGACCGAUAGUGAACCAGUACCGUGAGGGAAAGGCGAAAAGAACCCCGGCGAGGGGAGUGAAAAAGAACCUGAAACCGUGUACGUACAAGCAGUGGGAGCACCUUCGGGUGUGACUGCGUACCUUUUGUAUAAUGGGUCAGCGACUUAUAUUCUGUAGCAAGGUUAACCGUAUAGGGGAGCCGCAGGGAAACCGAGUCUUAACUGGGCGUUAAGUUGCAGGGUAUAGACCCGAAACCCGGUGAUCUAGCCAUGGGCAGGUUGAAGGUUGGGUAACACUAACUGGAGGACCGAACCGACUAAUGUUGAAAAAUUAGCGGAUGACUUGUGGCUGGGGGUGAAAGGCCAAUCAAACCGGGAGAUAGCUGGUUCUCCCCGAAAGCUAUUUAGGUAGCGCCUCGUGAAUUCAUCUUCGGGGGUAGAGCACUGUUUCGGCUAGGGGGUCAUCCCGACUUACCAACCCGAUGCAAACUACGAAUACCGAAGAAUGUUAUCACGGGAGACACACGGCGGGUGCUAACGUCCGUCGUGAAGAGGGAAACAACCCAGACCGCCAGCUAAGGUCCCAAAGUCAUGGUUAAGUGGGAAACGAUGUGGGAAGGCACAGACAGCCAGGAUGUUGGCUUAGAAGCAGCCAUCAUUUAAAGAAAGCGUAAUAGCUCACUGGUCGAGUCGGCCUGCGCGGAAGAUGUAACGGGGCUAAACCAUGCACCGAAGCUGCGGCAGCGACACUAUGUGUUGUUGGGUAGGGGAGCGUUCUGUAAGCCUGCGAAGGUGACCUGUGAGGGUUGCUGGAGGUAUCAGAAGUGCGAAUGCUGACAUAAGUAACGAUAAAGCGGGUGAAAAGCCCGCUCGCCGGAAGACCAAGGGUUCCUGUCCAACGUUAAUCGGGGCAGGGUGAGUCGACCCCUAAGGCGAGGCCGAAAGGCGUAGUCGAUGGGAAACAGGUUAAUAUUCCUGUACUUGGUGUUACUGCGAAGGGGGGACGGAGAAGGCUAUGUUAGCCGGGCGACGGUUGUCCCGGUUUAAGCAUGUAGGCUGGUUAUCCAGGCAAAUCCGGAUAAUCAAGGCUGAGGUGUGAUGACGAGGCACUACGGUGCUGAAGUAACAAAUGCCCUGCUUCCAGGAAAAGCCUCUAAGCAUCAGGUAACAUCAAAUCGUACCCCAAACCGACACAGGUGGUCAGGUAGAGAAUACCAAGGCGCUUGAGAGAACUCGGGUGAAGGAACUAGGCAAAAUGGUGCCGUAACUUCGGGAGAAGGCACGCUGGUGUGUAGGUGAAGUCCCUGCGGAUGGAGCUGAGACCAGUCGAAGAUACCAGCUGGCUGCAACUGUUUAUUAAAAACACAGCACUGUGCAAACACGAAAGUGGACGUAUACGGUGUGACGCCUGCCCGGUGCCGGAAGGUUAAUUGAUGGGGUUAUCCGUAAGGAGAAGCUCUUGAUCGAAGCCCCGGUAAACGGCGGCCGUAACUAUAACGGUCCUAAGGUAGCGAAAUUCCUUGUCGGGUAAGUUCCGACCUGCACGAAUGGCGUAAUGAUGGCCAGGCUGUCUCCACCCGAGACUCAGUGAAAUUGAACUCGCUGUGAAGAUGCAGUGUACCCGCGGCAAGACGGAAAGACCCCGUGAACCUUUACUAUAGCUUGACACUGAACAUUGAGCCUUGAUGUGUAGGAUAGGUGGGAGGCUUUGAAGCGUGGACGCCAGUCUGCGUGGAGCCAACCUUGAAAUACCACCCUUUAAUGUUUGAUGUUCUAACGUUGGCCCCUUACCGGGGUUGCGGACAGUGUCUGGUGGGUAGUUUGACUGGGGCGGUCUCCUCCCAAAGCGUAACGGAGGAGCACGAAGGUUAGCUAAUCCUGGUCGGACAUCAGGAGGUUAGUGCAAUGGCAUAAGCUAGCUUGACUGCGAGCGUGACGGCGCGAGCAGGUGCGAAAGCAGGUCAUAGUGAUCCGGUGGUUCUGAAUGGAAGGGCCAUCGCUCAACGGAUAAAAGGUACUCCGGGGAUAACAGGCUGAUACCGCCCAAGAGUUCAUAUCGACGGCGGUGUUUGGCACCUCGAUGUCGGCUCAUCACAUCCUGGGGCUGAAGUAGGUCCCAAGGGUAUGGCUGUUCGCCAUUUAAAGUGGUACGCGAGCUGGGUUUAGAACGUCGUGAGACAGUUCGGUCCCUAUCUGCCGUGGGCGCUGGAGAAUUGAGGGGGGCUGCUCCUAGUACGAGAGGACCGGAGUGGACGCAUCACUGGUGUUCGGGUUGUCAUGCCAAUGGCACUGCCCGGUAGCUAAAUGCGGAAGAGAUAAGUGCUGAAAGCAUCUAAGCACGAAACUUGCCCCGAGAUGAGUUCUCCCUGAGACUUUAAGUCUCCUGAAGGAACGUUAAAGACGAUGACGUUGAUAGGCCGGGUGUGUAAGCGCAGCGAUGCGUUGAGCUAACCGGUACUAAUGAACCGUGAGGCUUAACCUUACAACGCCGAAG
rnacentral:rRNA from 2 species